UACCUCAGCCUAGGGAGGGGGCUUUUGGUCUCAUUUUGGGCUUGAUCAUGUCAGGCAUACUGUAGACUGCCUUGUCAUGGGACUUGUAACUUUACCUUGAUCUUUGAUAUGGGUUAGCUCUGACUGUCUGUCAGGGCUUACACAGGCUAACACACUGUGAACUGUGUUGCACUAGGACUUGGGACUUCUCUCUGGAAUUACAGACCAGAGAUACAGAGAAGCAUUGAGGCAAGUGACACUGGAAACCUCUGCUCUGUCUGGAAAAGAUCAACCUACUCCCCCAUCUGUAGGAUAUUUUCAAGAAUUGAAGUCAUUGGUUCACACCUUCUGCUGAUCAUGAGUGCUGUUGAAUGAGAUUAAGAAACUGAACCAGGAGCAAAAUGAUCUCUGGUCACACAAGUGUCAGAGACAGAAUUCAAAUCCAGAUUUCUUCUGACCUCCAAAUUUAUCAUGCAUUCCACUAUGCUAGGAGAUCUUAACAGAAGUCCACAAACCUGUUGUGUUUUUUAAUAUAAUGAUGUCAAUAAAUUUGACUCCCCUUUCA
rnacentral:lncRNA from 1 species